CACUACUUUUGCUGGCUAGCGUGCGAUAUGCCACGUGGAUCAGAAACAAAAGAUAGCAAGAAUCAAUGAAGGAUGAAGAGCUGGAGACAGCUAGGAUAUUGAUUGCAGGCUUAAAGAGUCUACCCUGUGUGUUGUCAGAUGAUGCUGUGUGGUGAGUAGCUCUAUCACAAGUCAGUGGAGGACCAGGAGAGGAGCAUCCUAGAGAGGAAGAGGAAGAUACAGCACGCCAUUACGGGUGAGGGGGUGUGGCUACACUGACCACCCUUGAAAUAAAGACACCUCUUAUAAUCAGGCAUUAUAAUCAGGGGAAGUCCCAACUCAAUAGAAGCACAUGAAAUUAGCAGACACACUUCAAUAAACAGUUCACUUUCCAUAGUUAAAGUCUUAGAAUUUCCGCUAAUAACAUGUUUGCAGUCAUCCGUGUAUUCUCCCUAUGGUCGGACUAUCUCCACUGACUGUAUAUGCUCACCAGAAAAUGUAGUUAAGCAUUAACUAAUCGAACGGUAAUUUUCUGCACUUGCAGGGAGAGCCCCUUAAAUUAGCUAACCCUUAACUUUUUGUGCCAUGGCGAUACUUUUAUUUCAAACUCUCACUCAUGCACCAGAUCUUGUGGUGUGGGCGGGACCCUAAGGUGGUGGUCACAUGACUCAACCAUAAGCUCUUCAACAUAAUAAUGUCAUAAUUUACAUGUGACCCACAGUGACAUGUACUUUCACCAUCUCCCCACACACACACCCACGCACACCCACGCACAUGCAUCCAUGCAGUGUGUGAUAGGGCAUGCCUGACAGAGUGUGGUGGUCUGGGGGCUGACAGCUGUAAGGAGUGUGCCCUGGGAUAUGAGGAGGUGGAGGGAUCUUGUACAGAUAUUGAUGAGUGUAGAGAAGAUGACUCCAUCUGGGGUACCUACUGUCUCAACACCCCGGGGAAACAUCGCUGUCAGGGUGUUAUAUUAUAAUAAUAUAAUACACGCUAAGAAUACGCGCAAAGGACAUAAUUAUACGGCAGUGCUUGUGGGAGGGACAAUUGAUGUUCGUGAGUUGUUUGAUUUGAGGGCAAGCUUUUGUUAAUGUUCAUAAUUAGGAGGGGACCAAUUUUAAGUUUAUUUCGAUUGUAUAGGGAAUACAUAGGUUGUUCAGUUUCUUUGGUGGAUCUCCAUUGCUACGUACGGAUUGUACUUAAAAAAAUAUCGGAAUAAUACACGCUAAGAAUAUCACGCUAAGAAUACGCGCAAAGGACAUAUACAGCAGUGCUUGUGGGAGGGACAAUUGAUGUUUGUAAGUUGUUUGAUUUCAGGGCAGGCUAAAUAUUAAUAUUCAUAAUUAGAAGGGGACCAAUUUUAAGUUUAAUUAUAAAUUGUUUCGAUGGAAUACAUAGGUUGUGCAGUUUCUUUGGUGGAUCUCUCUAUUCCUACGUAUGGAUUGUGCUUGUAAGUAUUAGGUUAUGGGUACUUUUUAUUGCGGAAUAUCGUUUGACGGGAAGUUGAUUACACUGACUGGAAUAGAUGUAACGUACUCUGUUAUACGAUAGGUGCUUUUUAUUGCCGAGCUUAGACUGGUUGCUUAAAUUUAGCUGUCUCUUGGACUGGUUGUUUCUCGGGAUCGUGGAGAGAUAUAAAAUGGAAUCUUCAAUUUCUCCCUAAAAAUAAGGCAGGCCAUGUGCUAUAUUGUUAUUAUUAUUAUUAUUAUUAUUUUGAUACUAAUUCCAAUGUGGUCUACACAUCAUUACAUGCAUUAACUGUCGUUAACUCACCCACAUUAUCAGUUUGUAAUUCGGUGAUAGACCAUAUCAUUUCAAGCUCGUUGUUAAUUUUUGUCUCUAACACUUUGUGUUGUCAUGACUUUAUCCCUGAUGUCACAUUGUCUUCCACAUUAUUUUUGAUCAUCCUUAUAAUUAGCAUGCAAAACCUAGAGCUAUUUCUAUCUCUCAUGUUAACUAAGGCAAACUACAGCAUUCGUUGUACAGUCAUGAUUACUUUCACCCCCCUCGUCAUAAUUAUGUUAUGCUCCACAUUUGUGAUAUCAUUCCAUCUCUCAUACUCUCCUUGGGUGACAUUCUUCGAUGCUAUCGCUCAACUGAUGUCAGGCCAGAAACUACCGGAUUCAUCUCAAAUUUCAACUUUCAACUGAUAUGACUAUAAUUAUGUAAUUGCCCUCUCCUUAUGAUGUUGCAAAAGCCUCCUCCAGAUGUAAGACCUCCGCUAUAUCAUUCAGUGCACGUGGGAUAAAUCUCAAUUGCAGCCCUGACCCCUCCCACCUAUGGCCACUAAUACUUCUCAACGCAUACUGGGACAUUUUAUGAACUUGAUGCUAGUGAAAGUACACACAACUUACCACCGGACCUCGAUCGCUCUCCGAUGUAAAGCAGAUCGAAGCCUACCGUAUAGGGAAAAAUUUCGAGUGGCUUAAUUUUCGCUAUCUCCUGAUGUCUCGAUCGUCACUAAUACUGUGGGAAGUCUCAAAUCUUUGACACCACCACAAUAUGGAUAUGUCGAUCAUUUCGCUGGAUAAACAAUUUCGCUGGAUAAACAUAAUUUUAAAUCACCUCCCCUGAUGAUUGAAGCGAAGACAACUUGAACUCGUGAGCACGGCAACACCUAAUACUGGGUCACCUCCCCUGAUGAUUGAAGCGAAGACAACUUGAACUCGUGAGCACGGCAACACCUAAUACUGGGUCACCUCCCCUGAUGAUUGAAGCGAAGACAACUUGAACUCGUGAGCACGGCAACACCUAAUACUGGGUCACCUCCCUGAUGAUUGAAGCAAAGACAACUUGAACUCGUGAGCACGGCAACACCUAAUACUGGGUCACCUCCCCUAGCUGAUGAUUGAAGCGAAGACAACUUGAACUCGUGAGCACGGCAACACCUAAUACUGGGUCACCUCCCCUGAUGAUUGAAGCGAAGACAACUUGAACUCGUGAGCACGGCAACACCUACUGACUCAGCAUCUCACCAUCUCAAUUGCCAUGUCCAUUAUUAUUCUAAUUAUAGUAUUAUGGGGUCACUACCCAUUUUUUACUAUUUUAAGUUAUAGUAGUGUGGUCUGCCAUUAAAGUAAAAUGAUUUGAUAAUAGUGCUUGUACUGAAAACUACCUCUGAGAUGUGUUAACGGUCUUGUUGUCCUGGUAACCUCUGAGAUGUGUUAUUAAACGGUCUUUGUUGUCCUGGAAACCUCUGAGAUAUGUUAACGGUAUUGUUGUCCUGGAAACCUCUUAUGAGCGUUGUUAGCUGCAUGAUGGUCUUAUUGUCCUCUUGUAUCUCGAUCUGCAUGAGAUGUGUUAACUGGUCUUUUUGUCCUGGAAACCUGAGAUGUCUUGUGACUACUGUGGAUUGAACAUUGUCGUUGAACAAUAGUAGUAGCUAGUUUGAACUUUAAUUAUUUCGAGGUCCCCUCAAAAGCCUAGGCAAAAAGAAGGGAAAAAAAGAUUCCCCAAAAAAAGAUUUUGAUAGUAAUUGCCUGCCCUCUCGUAAUUUUCGUGUUUGUGUUUGUUGCUUGAUUUUUAGUUGUUUGAUGUUAAAUUUUAUAAUGUUGUAGUAUGGGGCUCCCUGGCGAGUUUGGAUUUAGUUCUUCUGCUUCAAUCUGGUAAUCUUGCCUUGUACUUUGGGGAGUGGGCCGAUCCUUGAUGGUGUGUGUCGUAGAUUUAUCAGUAGUAAUAGCAUCGCACAUAGCUAGUGGCUUAUUGGUAGUAGUCGUUGUCGGGGUGUUUGUUGCCAUCGAUCCACUAAUACGAGUAGUCCCUUAAAGAGUUUAUGUUGGUGGAAAGCCGUGGAGGCAUGCACGGGACUAAACUUACUACCUCUCGUAUUACUCGUAGUAGCUCCCUCUGCAAGAAAAUAAAAUAUUGUGAUAAAUAAUCGUUAACAUGAGUAACAAAAUGUUAUAUAGCGAUGAAUUAUCGAUCAUGUCUGUAAUAAACUUACGUUAGUUUCGAGAAGCCGCUCUACUGUUGUUAUAAUUAUGUCCCUGCCCUCCCGAACACGCGGCCGUACCUAAGUCCGUACCUCCUUGAUCUUCUAUGUCCGUGGGAUAUUUGGUAGAUCGUAGCCAAAUUGCAUAGUCUAAGUUUCGGAGUUGAUUUUCAACAAACUUUAUGUUGGGGCUGGGUACGAGGGCGUCUGUAAAUUGAAGAAUCAUAGAUAAAAAGAUCACGGAUAAAAAAAGGCUCGGAAGUUGAUCAGUCCUUAACCACAUACAAUUAAAGGAGUGGGCUGUCAAGCAUAACAAACUAGCAAAUACGGCUUUACAUGGAUGCCAACUGCAUGCAGUCGUUACUGACAUCAUAGGUAAUGGUCGUGAUUAUGUUGAAAUUAUGAGCUCCAGAACCACACCCACAUUACCUGUCUUACAAGACAAGCAUCCAGAAAUUCCUGGGAGAAAAUACAUUAUUAGUAAACACCCAAUGACAAAAAUUGUAUGUGCAUGUUAUAAUACUGUUCAAGAUUCUAUAGCCAGGUUUCCUGGUAAUGAUCGUCAAUUUUGUAAUCGAUUAAUGAAAAUAGUUAGCCUUGAGACUGUUGAAAUUAUGAGCUCCAGAACCACACCCACAUUACCCGUUUUACAAGCAUCCAGAAAUGUAUGUCUGGGAGAAAAUACAUUAUUAGUAAAAGAUGGAAUGACAAAAAUUGUAUAUAUUCGAGAUUCUAUACAUGUAGCCAGGUUUCCUGGUAAUGAUCGUCAAUUUCAAUUUUGUAAUUAAAAUAGUUAGCCUUGAUACCUAGACAUAAGUUGGCCUGACCACUCUAAGCUUGCUUACAUACAAUGUCUUGAAAUUAACUGGAUUUGUCGUUGUAUCUAGCUAUAGCAACCAUCACGUGACUCUUUGCAAAAAGAAAAAUGGCAAGUGGGAAAUUCAAAAUGUUGUCUACGCAUAUACGCCAGCAGUGCAACGCUUGCAGCCAUGCAAUUAGUCGGUGUAAUGGAAAUGGCAUUAUAAUAUCUGCCAUGAAAGUCAAAACUUACUAUGAACUUCCUUCAAGUGCUUUAUGAAGACUGCGUGGCGGUUCGAAAGGAAUGAUCCUUGGUAUCAAUUGGAUCUUUCCAUGUAAACUUCAUCUGUAUGGAAUGAAAUACAAGCUUUAUCAUAGCGACACAAUUUCGUACGCAUGCACAUGACAUAAAAUAGCUAUAAAUCGACUUAGACUGCGUGCUAAGUUUAAUUUUGCGCUUCUUAUGAUCACGGGAGCUCCAGGCUGUAUAUAACAUCGUGGGCACACCAAUUCCUCAGUACUGCCACUUCUUUUCAUAAUAAUAUUGAAAUACGCUCACAAUCAUUUUGUGGGUGUGCCGCUGUACACAGAAUAAUGUAUGUUUCCAUCCUGCUAUCUGCAAUCAGACAAUCAAUGCACAGAACUGAAGAAGAAGCUGGCUCUCUGCAAGUCACUCAGAUUUGCAAGUACUUGGACAUUACAGCUUGAGGGUCACCACGUACAUGUACGUAUAGUAAUGAUCUGAAUGGGGCCAGCAAUCAUCAUGGCCAUAUACUCACCAUGACAACAAUACGGUACAGGGAGCCUAUAAAUGAUAUUUCAGUGGGUGCUGUGCUGGUACUAGCAUAAGUUAUAAUAGGGAAUGUCCUGUAAGAUUUAUAUAGAAGGUGCUAUUUCAGAAUCCACAUUUAAUGGGUGAUUGUCUUUCCAAGUUUUUGUUGAUGGGUUGAACAUGUCUGUGCAUGCCUACUUGAAAAGCACUGUACACGUAUAGGAUUAGGGUGGGCUGUAGAGUAAGAUUUGAUGAUAACUGAUGACCUUGUUAGAGCACUGACUGCAAGCACGUCAAUAGUACAUGCAAGUACUGUACACGCUAUAGUGGUACAUAAUUAUUGUCUAGCUCCUAAGUUAGUUUUGCCGAAAGGUUCAUUAGGUGGUUGUGACGUAGGUUGGAAGAAACGCCUAUACUACAGUUUUAAGUGGAGUUGCGUACUCUUCCUAAUGAACUCUUGGUUUUGUGUAUGGUACCACCUAAAUUUCCUACCAAGUUGUUGCUUGAUUGCUAUGGCUAUACAUGUACUGCUUGUUCACUUCUUGAGUAGAUCAAGUUGCUAGUCUGCAUAUAUAGUGUACGUGCUAUACCAAGUUAUAUUGCUCAUUCCUUACAAUAAUGAUUGUGUACCAACCUACUAUACCAACCUCUUGAGUCAAGUGCCUGUGGGUAGUAACUUAAUUAUAUGCCUCAAGCUAGGUGUAGCAACACAGGGGAAGUUCAUACUUAGAAGAGAACACUUCAGAGGCCUAUAAACUUUGUCCUGCAUGUUUAUAGGUUCAGGAGCUGGGAAUUAUGAAGCUAGUUGUAUAAUUUUUGUUGAAGCUAUAAUUAUGCAGGUCAUACAUAAUUAUAUGCAUUAUGGUGCUUUGCAAAUAGGUAUGGUGGCUAGCUGUUUAACCUGACCUGCUGUGCAGAUAUGAGAUUCAAAUUAUGAGUAAACUAUACAAGUACUUGUACAGCAAUUACAAGUACUUACAAUGUCAUGUACGUACUUGCUUACCCAUAAUUAGGAAAACGAUCCUCUGCUUACGGGAGGUAACUUGUACAAAGACUGAGAGAAGGAGUGAUCAGCAGCAAUACUCUGAUAAGUACAUACAGCGUACGUGUAUGAUCAUAAUGUGUGCAGGAAGACUGGAGUGACUGAUCAACAGCUCGAUCAAGAAAUCCCCAACAGUGACAUCUACUGUGUAGCUGAACACAUUGAGGACAUCUACUGUGUAGCUGAACACAUUGAGAUGACACCUGGCCUGCUUGAAAGACUCGAACUCACUACUGCUGAAAAAGCGAUGCUACUCGAAAGAGAAAGUACGAAGGCAAUCAAACAGGAGUGGGUCAUGCAUUGAGAGUGUAGCAAAGAGGAGACACUGCUACACACAUUUGUAGAUUCAUUGCAGAACUGAACAAAACUGAAAUAAUUACUUUAACGUUUUGUUUUAUUGAUGCUGUUUUAUGUGUCUGCUUAUAAUUAUUGUGAUGGAA